rnacentral:misc_RNA from 1 species
GAUGAAGAACGCAGCGAAAUGCGAUAAGUAGUGUGAAUUGCAGAAUUCAGUGAAUCAUCGAAUCUUUGAACGCACAUUGCGCCCCUUGGUAUUCCAUGGGGCAUGCCUGUUCGAGCGUCAUUUGUACCCUCAAGCUUUGCUUGGUGUUGGGCAUCUUGUCUUGUAUUAGACUCGCCUUAAAGUCAUUGGCAGCCAGUGUUUUUGGUAGUAAGCGCAGCACAUUUUGCGUCUUAGUCCUUGAAUCGUGGCAUCCAUGAAGCCUUUUUUCACUUUUGACCUCGGAUCAGGUAGGGAUACCCGCUGAACUUAAGCAUAUCAAUAAGCGGAGGA